rnacentral:miRNA from 1 species
GUGCGUGUGUGUGUGUGUGUGUGUGUGUGUGUGCGCCCACGGCAGGCUGUUUGCUGGGGCACACUCUCCCCC